GGCUCAGUACGAACGCUGGCGGCGUGCUUAACACAUGCAAGUCGAACGAUGAAGCCCUUCGGGGUGGAUUAGUGGCGAACGGGUGAGUAACACGUGGGCAAUCUGCCCUUCACUCUGGGACAAGCCCUGGAAACGGGGUCUAAUACCGGAUACCACUCCUGCCCGCAUGGGCAGGGGUUGAAAGCUCCGGCGGUGAAGGAUGAGCCCGCGGCCUAUCAGCUUGUUGGUGGGGUAAUGGCCCACCAAGGCGACGACGGGUAGCCGGCCUGAGAGGGCGACCGGCCACACUGGGACUGAGACACGGCCCAGACUCCUACGGGAGGCAGCAGUGGGGAAUAUUGCACAAUGGGCGAAAGCCUGAUGCAGCGACGCCGCGUGAGGGAUGACGGCCUUCGGGUUGUAAACCUCUUUCAGCAGGGAAGAAGCGAAAGUGACGGUACCUGCAGAAGAAGCGCCGGCUAACUACGUGCCAGCAGCCGCGGUAAUACGUAGGGCGCAAGCGUUGUCCGGAAUUAUUGGGCGUAAAGAGCUCGUAGGCGGCUUGUCACGUCGGAUGUGAAAGCCCGAGGCUUAACCUCGGGUCUGCAUUCGAUACGGGCUAGCUAGAGUGUGGUAGGGGAGAUCGGAAUUCCUGGUGUAGCGGUGAAAUGCGCAGAUAUCAGGAGGAACACCGGUGGCGAAGGCGGAUCUCUGGGCCAUUACUGACGCUGAGAGCGAAA
rnacentral:rRNA from 1 species